CGAAAAAAGCCAUAAAUAAGAGUGAUAGUGUAGACGAGAAAGGCAGCAGGCUGCAGGCGCAGGGUAGUCCUCCAAAUUGAUCAGGUUCUCAGUUCUCACGCAAGGAAGCCAUGGAAGUUCCGCAAGUUCUUCGCAUGAAUGGAGGAGAUGGAGAAGUCAGCUACUAUCAAAACUCAUCAUAUCAGAAGAAAGGGAUUUUGGCAGCCAAGCCUAUAUUAGAAGAAAGCAUAGCACAGCUAUUGCAAGCAAGCGAGCUGGAAUGUCUAACAGUGGUAGAUAUGGGGUGCUCUUCAGGGCCCAAUACACUACUGCCACUGUGGGAAAUCAUCGAAACGAUCGACUCCACUUGCAGUAGAUUGAAUCGGAAAUCACCCCUUUUGCAGGUUUUCCUAAAUGAUCUUCCAGGGAAUGAUUUCAACACCAUUUUCAGGUCAUUGAUACCCAAUUUUCAUGAGAAACUUGAGAAAGAGAAGGGUAGCAAAUUUGGACCUUGUUUCAUAGCUGCAAUGCCUGGAAGUUUCUAUGGAAGGCUCUUUCCACCACAUUUCCUGCGCUUUGCUCACUCUUCUUAUAGCCUGCAUUGGUUGUCUCAGGUUCAACUUUUGCACUCUAUUAGUUUAUUCUUCUUACAAAUCAUUUAAUCUCACAGGUCAAUUAGAUCAGAAACUUGAAUGCUAGUAUGUUCGGCAUCUGAAUCAGGUACCUGAAGAGCUUGCAACUGAAUCCGGGAUUCAACUAAACAAAGGUACUAUUUGCCUGGACAAAACAAGCCCCCCAAGUGUCCAUAAAGCAUAUAUGGAUCAAUUCCAAAGGGAUUUCACAACAUUUUUAAGAUUACGAUCAGAGGAGAUGAUUUCAGGAGGUCAAAUGGUACUCACCUUCCUCGCACAGAGUAAUAACAAACCUUAUUGCAAAUAUGGUAUCGAAAUCUGGCAGCUGAUCGGUUUAUGCCUGAAGGAGAUGGUUGAAGAGGGCUUAGUUCAAGAAUCAGCAUUAGACUCCUGCAAUCUUCCACUGUAUGCUCCUUCUGCAGAUGAAGUAAGGUGUUCGACCGAAAGGGAAGGUUCCUUUACCAUUUCACGACUAGAUCAAUUCGAGUUAAAUUGGGACGUCGAAGAUGGUAACCAAGAAUUGGCUUGUGAUAAAUGGGAGAGAGGGAAGAUUGUAGCAGCCCGCAUGAGAGCUGUUGCAGAACCCAUGCUAGCAAGUCAUUUUGGAGAUGCCAUUAUUGACGAUUUAUUCCUUAGAUUGUCCAUAAAGAUAGCAGAUUGCCUGGAAAAAGGGAUUGGUUCGUGCAACAAUCAAGUCAUCUCCAUGAUAAAGAAAUGAAAUUGUUUUCGAGUUAGUAAAGAUAAAAUUACUUGAAUGUCUCGUAUCAAAAUUAUAAAUGAAGAAAUAUAUGUCAUGAAAAAUAUUUACG
rnacentral:misc_RNA from 1 species